rnacentral:rRNA from 1 species
GACGAACGCUGGCGGCGUGCUUAACACAUGCAAGUCGAGCGGUAAGGCCUUUCGGGUACACGAGCGGCGAACGGGUGAGUAACACGUGGGUGACCUGCCCUCAGCUCUGGGAUAAGCCUGGGAAACUGGGUCUAAUACCGGAUAUGACUCCAUGACGCAUGUUGUGGGGUGGAAAGCCUUGUGCGGCUGAGGAUGGGCCCGCGGCCUAUCAGCUUGUUGGUGGGGUGANGGCCUACCAAGGCGACGACGGGUAGCCGGCCUGAGAGGGCGACCGGCCACACUGGGACUGAGACACGGCCCAGACUCCUACGGGAGGCAGCAGUGGGGAAUCUUGCGCAAUGGGCGAAAGCCUGACGCAGCGACGCCGCGUGAGGGAUGACGGCCU